GUUCUAUAGUUAUUAAUUUUAGAUUGGGCCUGCCCUAUGAUUUAUUAAAUGGCUGCAGUAUUAUAACUGUACUAAGGUAGCAUAAUAAUUUGUCUUUUAAUUGAAGGCUUGAAUAAAUGGUUUGAUGAAAAAUUAACUUUUUUAUUUUAAUAUUUUGAAUUUGAUUUUUUAGUUAAAAAGCUUAAAUUUUUUUAUAGGACGAGAAGACCCUUUAGAAUUUUAUUUUUAUUAAAAUUAAUUUAUUUUGUUUAUUAUAUUAUUUGUUUUUUAUAUUAAUUUUGUUGGGGUGAUUUAAAAAUUUUUUUAACUUUUUAUUUAUAUUUCAUUAAUUUAUGUUUUUUUGAUCCUAUUUUUUAGAUUAUAAGAUUAAAUUACCUAAGGGAUAACAGCGUUAUUUUUUUGGAGAGUUCUUAUUGAUAAAGAAGUUUGCGA
rnacentral:rRNA from 1 species